rnacentral:sRNA from 1 species
CCGUGACAGGCUCGGAGGGAGAGAAGGGAUACACCCCCUACUGAUCCGGGACCGGAGGAGCGAGUCCAGUCGCAACAAACUGCUGAGACGCACAGUCUC